rnacentral:rRNA from 1 species
AUGAUCUUCCUUCCUGCCUUCCUUGAUUCAUCAGACUUCUGGAACACCGACCACAACCAGCUUCAGCUGCAACAAAUCGGCACUAGCACUCAUAGUACUACCACUUCUUCACCCGAUGGUCCGGGUGAUGGAGGAUGCAACAACAAUAAUCCCAAAGGGUUCAUGGCCACAACCGGGGCCGACUACGGCGUUGCAGGGGGCGGAGAUGAUGGUUGCGGUGGUGCUGGGGACGGCGAUUGCAGUCGCGGCAGAAAUAACAAGUCGAUUUCCAUGUCGGAGCGAGCACGGCUGGCGCGGUUGCCGCAUCCAGUUCCAGGGCUCAACUGCCCGCGAUGCGAAUCCACCAACACCAAGUUUUGCUACUUUAAUAACUACUCUCUUACCCAGCCCCGCCACUUCUGCCGCUCCUGCAGCCGCUACUGGACCCAUGGCGGCGUUCUCCGCAACGUGCCCGUCGGCGGGGGGUAUCGUCGCCAUGCCAAGCGUAGGGCCAAGCCCAAGGUGGUGUCAGCCACCUCCCGAGCCUCUACGGUAGGGAAGUCGUCCGUGACACCAACCAUGUCUAGUAGUACCACUUAUGCCACUGGCACCGACAUUUCACCACCAAGAUUGCAAUACCCCAUUUUUGGCAGCACGCCGUCCCAUGACAGCCAGUUCAGCGACAUAUUCGACCCAGCUAACCUUGGUCUCGGCUUCCCUGUCAGGCUGCUCUUUGCCGAAAGCGAUGCUUACACGGUGGAUGGCUGUGCGCACCACCACCACCACCAUGCCCAUGGGAACGGGAUGGAGCAGUUGUUCGAAGCACAGAAUAGCUUCCCAUUCAUGCACGCCAUGGAUCAUCAUAUGUCUGGACUCCCAGCUGAGGCAAUGCCCAUCACAAUGGCUACGAUGCAGGGCAUGUUCCACCUAGGGUUACAGAGCGUCCGCGGGGGUCAUGGCGACGAGAUAGCAGGCCAACAGUUGCACUACCCGCCGGCCAAGAGAAACCACAAGCACCAGGAUUACGCUAGCAGCAGGGGCAUGCACAGGGAUGUGGUCAAUGGUAAUGGCACCGGCGGCUACAUUUAA